rnacentral:misc_RNA from 1 species
GAAUUCGAUAAGGGAAGCGGUGGAAAACUACAAUUCGAUUUAUGUGUUUACUUUUGAGAACAUGAGAAAUCUCAAGUUCAAGGAGUUUAACAAAUAUAUCGAAUUGAUUCUUCCUUGGAUCAAACAAAGUAAUGCAGGUGUCUCUAGGUCGAUCAGUUGCUGAUGAGAUCAGGCCAGGAAUUCACAAAGUUUCCAAGCUUCUCCGUGGAGAUGCUGGACUUUUUCUCACCAAUUUGCCAAAAGAAGAAGUUGAAAGGUUAUUUAAUGAAUACGAGGAAUAUGACUUUGCAAGGACCGGAAGCAUUCGGAAAAGGUAGAACUUAAGGAAGGUCCUUUGGAGCAGUUUACCCAUGAAAUGGAGCCCUUUCUUCGCAAGCAAGGAAUGCCUGUUCGGUUGAACAAGGGUGUUGUGGAGCUAGUUUCAGACUAUGUUGUUUGUGAAGAGGGAAAGCAUUUGUCACCUGAGUCAGGUCGAAUAUUGCGAUUAUUGGGCAUUAAGAUGGCUACUUUCCGACUUCACUUAAUUUGCAGAUGGAGUCCUGAAGAUUUUGAGCUUUAUAGAGAAGGGCAAGAUGAGUCAGAUGUGGAAUCUGCAUAAAACAGUG